CAGAAGGUACACUGGCCCUGGAGUAGGGAAGUUUCCCUAAUCCAUCUCUUUGACCAUGACCUUCACAAAAGUGACUAUAGAGGAGUCAUUUUAAAAUGGAGUCAGAGCUGCCUGUCCAGAGAAAUUGCUUGGCUGUCUUAAACCUCGGACUGGGCCAAACCUGUGGAGAGGACCAGAAUGGCAAUUGUUUUACAAGCAAUUGUUUGAGAAGUCAGCAGGAGAACAGACACUCUGAUCACAAAGACCGAGGGUUGUGGACUUUCUGAAGAUGGAAUCAAUAGCCAAUCAAUGUUUAACCAAGACUAGCUGUCUGCCUCCAACUCCAAUUAAAAUUCUUUGUAAUACAACCUCCCUUCUUUGCCUUUAAAAGCUCCUGAUUUUUAGUGCCUAGUGGAACACUUUUUGAGUUUCUACCUAAAUAUGUUUCUCCCAAAUUGCAGUUCUAAUUGCCCAAAUAAAUAUCUGCUGUUUAAAUUGCAGUGAUUUUUCCUCUGUCAACAACCUACGAGGUGGUAAGCAACUAUAAGACGUGAGGCCAGAGAAAUGUGCUUGUCAUUUGUGUGUCCUCAGUCUCUGGUACUAGUCACAGAGUCAGUGCCCUGAAUGCUUUCGAGUAAAUUAAUUAAUCAGUGUUGGAAAAUACUCAAGGUACGACUUCAAGAACUUGAAUUCCCAGGCAAGACUGGGAUCUCAGGAGCCAAAGCUGAGCACAGGAGAAGGUGGACUGCCUACUGGUGAUGGAACAAAGUCUACAUCUCCAAGGCCAGCUCUUGUCAAUUGCUCCUGGCUGCCUGGAACACCGGGAUAAGAAGGUUUCCUAGGCUGUGUAACGUGAUAGACUGAUGCACCAACUGAGACCCAGCCAAGGUCACACAUCCAGUAAGUGGUAGAACCAAGAUACCAACCCAAGCAAUCUGACUCCAGAGACCACUCUCUCCACCACACCAGAAGCUUAGGCUCCUCCACUGGUUUGUUUCUGGUCAAAUGGGUGUUUACAAGCAGGUAGAUGCAUGCUGAGAAUGUUUUGGAAUGAUCUGUGGAGAUACAGCAGUGACAAGAUUUCCUUUUCCAAUACAUUUUCCAAAGUAAAACACCAGAAAUUCAUGAUUCAAUCCAUGUCCAGGAUUCCACGUGAUCAAGAGCUUCAGUAUUUUAAGCUUUUGGGCGAUUCGUAGCUAUCAUGUCUAAAUUGUUCUGCUUGUUCUAAAUUUGCCCUGCAUGUGUACCUUUCAAGAAUAGUUCUUUUAGCUGAUAAACUCCCAUUUUCAAAUGCAAAUGUGUUUUGAAAUAUAUUUGUUCGAUCACUUCUCCCUCAAAAUCAUACUAUAGCUGAAUUACUCCGAAGGGCUCCGUGGUGAAGCACGGAACAUUUUCCAGCAUAAUCCUGUGGUGCUUUUCAUCUAAAAAGGUGACUAACAGCUUGCAUAAGCUUAUAACCAGACUUAAAGCUUAAAAUCCCUGCGGAGUUUGCAAAGGGCAUUGAGACGGCAAGCCAAAUCUGGGAAACAGAAAUGUCUUUGCACGCUGACUUAUCUACCAGUCACGAAAGCAGUCUGAUUUAAAAUUGCUGUUACUCAUUUCAGCUCCACAGCCUCUAUUUUCCUGACAGUGAGAUGAAAAAGCACGCCUUCCUCUGUUAAGAAAAAAUACGAAAUGGCUCCCAUCUAACAAAUGUUAAUUAGGUCAUGCAAUGUGGUGAAAAGAGAUUUGAAAUGAGAUGAGACCCAUGUACUGGUACCUGACAUCAAGUGGGUAACUAUCAACAUACACAUGAAGAAAAUGAACGAAAUCUACUCUUGGGCCUGGAACUCACAGAUCAGUGACCUUCGGGAAAUCUCUCUCCUCUCCAGUUUCAUUUUCCUUGGCCUUAAUGAUUUCCUAAGACUGCCUCUAGCUCCACACUCUCAAAUUUUAAAUCAGACCUUAAUUAUGUGCUAAGUAAAGUAUAAUAUACUUAAUUUGAAGGAUGGCAUACCGACAAAGAUAGUUAAGAAGAUGAUAAGGCAGAGUGGAAACUACUCAUUAUGUAACAAGGAAUACAAAAUGUUGUUUAUACUCUCCAAAGCUAUGUAAAAUUCUGUGUGCAUUUGAACCGAAGCUGGAAGAAGGAACAAAGAAAACAGAGUGAGCUCAUGGGCGGGUGAAGUUGCCUUAUAUUUUGAUUUCCAUUAAUUGGCCCUUUGUCUGAUAUGUAAGACUAUCUUUAGGGAAGCAUUCUUCAUGUUCUAUGGCAGAACUGUUUGCCUGGUAGUUUUUUGUCCUUUAUUUUCUCAGCUUCCAAGGUGCUGGUGGCCAGGUUGAUCUCUUUGCUAUUUCUGGACUGUGUCACUUUCCACAGCUCCAUGUUGUUUUCAAAGAGGUCACAAGCGCCAGGAGCUAGGCCCCCAUCCUCUCAUCCCAAACCGACACCCACACACUCUGCUCCACUUUCCCCCCCAUGCUGGCUGGGAGAGAGCAGGUGUUCCACACCAGGGUCCACACAGAGCACUGCAGGUGGGAAGGGACCUCGAAGUCUGCUCUGCCUUUGCUCUGAGGUUGUCCAUUCUGAGUGUCAGCCUCGUUCAUGAAGAAGCCCUUUAUUGCGGGCCCUUGACCCCCCAGCAGCCAUUUUGGGCAGCUGUCCCUCUGCUCCCCACCACGGCAUUUGAUGAGACCAGUGCUGAGCACCUGACCCACGAGGCCAAUCAGAGCCUCCUUCCCAGAAAUUUGAAACUGGGACUCAGAGAGGGGCAGUCUCUCUUGAGAUGGUUCAAUCCCAGACAGUUCAGCGUGGGUGCUGUGGGAGAGAUGUUUCUGAUGCCCCGUGUGGACUGUACAAGCAGAGAAAGCUGACAUGGGGGCAGGGGAUGGCAGUGGGAGAGAAUGAGUCUGGAUGCCUUUUUGCUCCCUUUCCAGCCCCUUCCCAAGGGAUGCUGCAGCCUGCCCCUGGGUUCUGUGAAACAGCCUGAGUCCUUGAAUAAAGUCCCCUUUCAGCUUAGGCUAAGGCAAACUGGUUUCUGUUACUUGCAAUCAAAAAUAUCCUAAUACAGCCCUUCUCCCUCAAUCUAUGGGCACCUCCCAGCAUGUAGUCAAGUCCCUUUGUGACCUGGCCCUGCCUAGGGCCCCACCUUGUCACCCCCUCACAUCCCAGCCACGCUGGGCCUCAGCUGGUAGUGCCACACACCUUACUGCCUCUGCUCUCUCUGGCCUUUGCUGGCUGCUCCGCCUGAAAGGCCCGCUAGCCCGCUGAGCUCCCUCCCCAGCCUGAAGGCACAGGCCGGUAAAAAGCCUGGCUGCAGGGGUCCGCUCACUUCCUGUCUUUACUUCAGCCGGGCCUCUGAUUAAAGCGCUCAGAGAGAGGGCCGCCUGGGAGGCUGGGAACGGCUCUUUCUAAUCCGUGCUAGCCAGAACCGACUUUGAGCUUUCAGAGAGCAGGCCCUCCCGGGAAGCUGAGGGAGACAGUCUCGUUGCUGCAGCCUGAAACGAUGCUGUUCUCAUUAGGUUUU
ensembl:lncRNA